rnacentral:rRNA from 1 species
CGGUUGAUCCUGCCGGAGGCUACUGCUAUCGGGGUUCGAUUAAGCCAUGCGAGUUAAAUGUUCUUCGUGAACAUAGCGAACUGCUCAGUAACACGUGGAUAACCUACCCUUAGGACCGGAAUAACCCCGGGAAACUGGGGAUAAUACCGGAUAAGCCAUAGACGCUGGAACGCCCUAUGGUUCAAAGCUCCGGCGCCUAAGGAUGGAUCUGCGGUCUAUCAGGUUGUAGUGGGUGUAACGUACCUACUAGCCGACGACGGAUACGGGUUGUGAGAGCAAGAGCCCGGAGAUGGAUUCUGAGACACGAAUCCAGGCCCUACGGGGUGCAGCAGGCGCGAACACCUUACAAUGCGGGAAACCGCGAUAAGGGAACCCCGAGUGCCAGCAUCAAAUGUUGGCUGUCCAGAUGAUUAAAAAUCAUUUGUUAGCAAGGGCCGGGCAAGACCGGUGCCAGCCGCCGCGGUAACACCGGCGGCCCGAGUGGUAGCCGUUUUUAUUGGGUCUAAAGGGUCCGUAGCCGGCCUGAUAAGUCCUUUGGGAAAUCUGGCAGCUUAACUGUCAGGCUUUCAGGGGAUACUGUCAGACUUGGGACCGGGAGAGGUAAGAGGUACUACAGGGGUAGGAGUGAAAUCUUGUAAUCCCUGUGGGACCACCAGUGGCGAAGGCGUCUUACCAGAACGGGUCCGACGGUGAGGGACGAAAGCUGGGGGCACGAACCGGAUUAGAUACCCGGGUAGUCCCAGCCGUAAACGAUGUUCGCUAGGUGUCAGGGACGGUGCGACCGUUUCUGGUGCCGUAGGGAAGCCGUGAAGCGAACCACCUGGGAAGUACGGCCGCAAGGCUGAAACUUAAAGGAAUUGGCGGGGGAGCACUACAACGGGUGGAGCCUGCGGUUUAAUUGGACUCAACGCCGGAAAACUCACCGGGGGGCGACAGCAAUAUGUAGGUCAGGCUAAAGACCCUUACCUGAGUCGCUGAGAGGAGUGCAUGAUGUUCGUCAGGAUCGUACUGUGAGCAAUCUGAUUAAGUCAGGCAACGGAAGCGGAGAGAAACCUCGGUUGUAGUCA